rnacentral:rRNA from 1 species
AAGUCGAACGAGAAUUUGGAGCUUGCUCCAAAGGACAGUGGCAGACGGGUGAGUAACGCGUGGCAACCUACCCUUUACUACGGGACAACAGUUGGAAACGACUGCUAAUACCGGUAUACGUCUCCGGGGAGAAAGAUUUAUCGGUGAAGGAUGGGGCCGCGUUAGAUUAGCUAGAUGGUGGGGUAAAGGCCUACCAUGGCGACGGAUCUAUAGCGGGUCUGAGAGGAUGAUCCGCCACACGUGGGACGUGAGACACGGCCCAGACUCUACGGGGAGGCAGCGAGUAGGGAAUAUUGGACAAUGGGCGCAAGCCUGAUCCAGCCAUGCCGCGUGAAUGAUGAAGGCCGUUAGGGUUGUAAAAUUCUUUCGCUAGGGAAGAUAAUGACUGUACCGUAGUAAAGAAGCCCCGGCUAACUCCGUGCCGAGCAGCCGCGGUAAUACGGAGGGGGCUAGCGUUGUUCGGAAUUACUGGGCGUAAAGCGUGCGUAGGCGGAUUAGCAAGUAUAGGGUGAAAUCCCAGGGCUCAACCCUGGAACUGCCUUGUAAACUGCUAGUCUUGAGUUCUGGAGAGGUAAGUGGAAUUCCUAUGUAGAGGUGAAAUUCGUAGAUAUUAGGAGGACACCGAGAGGCGAAGG